CGCGUAGGUGGUUGAGUCAGUCAGAUGUGAAAGCCCCGGGCUUAACCUGGGAACUGCGCCUGAUACUGCUUGACUAGAGUACGGUAGAGGGCAGUGGAAUUUCCUGUGUAGCGGUGAAAUGCGUAGAUAUAGGAAGGAACACCAGUGGCGAAGGCGACUGCCUGGACCGAUACUGACACUGAGGUGCGAAAGCGUGGGUAGCAAACA
rnacentral:rRNA from 1 species